GACGAACCGUGCGAACGUUAUUCGGAAUCACUGGGCUUAAAGGGCGCGUAGGCGGGUGCUCAAGUCCGGGGUGAAAUCCUCCAGCUCAACUGGAGAACUGCCUCGGAUACUGGGUGCCUCGAGGGUGGUAGGGGUAUGCGGAACUAUCGGUGGAGCGGUGAAAUGCGUUGAUAUCGAUAGGAACUCCGGUGGCGAAGGCGGCAUACUGGACCACUUCUGACGCUGAGGCACGAAAGCCAGGGGAGCAAACGGG
rnacentral:rRNA from 1 species